rnacentral:rRNA from 1 species
GACGAACGCUGGCGGCGUGCUUAACACAUGCAAGUCGAACGGUAAGGCCCUUCGGGGUACACGAGUGGCGAACGGGUGAGUAACACGUGGGUGAUCUGCCCUGCACUUCGGGAUACGCCUGGGAAACUGGGUCUAAUACCGGAUAGGACCUCUGCCAGCAUGGGAGGUGGUGGAAAGCUUUUGCGGUGUGGGAUGGGCCCGCGGCCUAUCCGUUUGUUGGUUGGGUGAUGGCCUACCAAGGCGACGACGGGUAGCAGGCCUGAGAGGGUGACCGGACAGAUUGUGACUGAGAGACUGGCUAGACUCCUACGUGAGGCAGUAGUGGAGAACUAUGCACAAUGGGCGCAAGCCUGAUGCAACGACGCCGCGUGUGGGAUGACGGCCUUCGGGUUGUAAACCUCUUUCAGCACCGACGAAGCGCAAGUGACGUUAGGUGCAGAAGAAGGACCGGCCAACUACGUGCCAGCAGCCGCCGCAA